GUCUCCAUAAAAACCCAAAAGGACAGGGUUUGAAGAGCUUCCAAAUAGCUGAACGCAUGGAGGUUCCUGGAGGGUGGUGUGCACUGGGAGGGCAUCGAACCACUGCACCCCUGCCCAUACCUUGCCCCACGCAUCUCUUCAUCUCUAUGGAACCCAUUCUUCAAAGAAGUCGUACUCAGAAGUCUGAUACAUUAAACAUGUAAAAGCCAAGCUGCUCUGCCUGAAGCGAUGUGGGGAGCCUGGAGUCCUGCUGAGGAAGGGUAUUUUGACCAUGCUGUUUAAUGCGUGUCACUGAUUAGAGGAACACUUUUAGAUUGGAAAGAUUUUGAUCAUCUCAAAAGUCUUGGAUAUAAAAAUUCAGUCUGUGUGGCAGGGAACAGCUCACUCCUGACUGGUUGAAGAUAGGAGGUUGAAGAAAUAAAUGAACUUGAAGCAGACUUGAAGUUUCAUGCCUGAGAUCCUAAAGCUUUGAAGAAGUCAGCUGCCAUGCUGUGGGAUGGCCUAUGGAGAGAGCCAUGUGGUAAAGAACUGUGGGCGGCUUCUAGGUGCUGAGUGUUACCCCAGCUGACAGCCAGCAAGAAGUCAGGGACCUCCAUCUUACAGCUGCGAGGAGAUGAAUUCUGCCAAGAACUGAAGGAAUGCAGAAAUGGACCCAUCCCAAAUUGGGCCUUCAGAUGAGAACAGCCCUGACCAACACCUUGAUUGUAGCCUCACAGAGGACCCAGCUAAGCUAUGCCUGGACUCCUAACCCACAGAAACUGUGAGAUAGUAAUUGCGUGUUGUUUUAACCUGCUAAGUUUGUGGUACUCUGUUACACACAAUACAUAAUAGCUCACAUUCUAUUUUUACUUUCUUGUUCAAAUGUAAGUGUAAGAGAGAGAUGCUUGUUUGACAAUCUCUGUUUUUCUAACAGCUAUCUGUGUGCUCUUUUUGUGAGUAGGUUGAUGGGGGGUGUGACAUGGACUGGCAUGAUGACAAAUCAUAACAAGGCUGAGAACAGGUAUGAAUGGAGAUCCCUGAGACGAUGCGCCCCUGCUUAAGUGAGGAGAUGCACUAGCCCCACCCUACCCCAUCCCUCCAUUUUUACCAAAUUGUCACCUUCAUUGGUGAUACUCCCAUUGGUCAGGCUGCAGAUUUGUCCCCAGGGGGACAUGAGAACUAGGCUUGUUUUCCAGGUGCCAGAGCCUCAACUCAUAAUUUGUGUUGUUUGAGGGACUGAUGUAAGAAAAGAUGAAUAGAUAGAUGGAUGAAUUGGAACAGACAGUCACCUCCAAUAGGAAAAGAAAAAGCCUCCAAGUCACCCUGCCUGGGGCUGCUUCACUGCUUUGCAUCCAUGCACAAAGGACAUCUUGUCGUGGUCAUUACUAAGCCAGUCAGUUUUCUCUCUCACUCUUAACCCCACCCAAGUUUCUCCAUUUACGAGCAUGUCUCACAGUUGUAAAAUAAUAAUAAAAAUAAUAUUAAAUCUCAAGACACCCUGUGAAAAUGUAAUGAAAAUCCACUACCAAAUACACUACCGAUUAAUAAAAUUCAGUAAUUUUUAUUCCUGUGCUGGGAAGCUAAGUUAGAGGACAUGGGAAAUAGAGAACUAUGCUAUAAAAAAUAGAACCAAUGGCAUUAAUUCUCUUAAAUAAUCAAAAUUUGACUGGUGAUUUUCCUGAUUUAUGUCACUCUUUAUUGUAAGCCAACAUGCACAGUCCAGCUUGAAUCUGCAAGAGUCAUAAAGGAAACCUCAAGUGGAUGUUCAUACUACAGUCCUCCUGGGGCAUAAACAUUAAUGGUUCAUAGAAGAAAAUAGAAUUAUCAGCUUUCACUGCUUAAAUGCCUUUUAUCUCUACUGUACAUACAUUCUGACAGAGUGAUUACCCUAAUCUCAAGUGUUGAGAACAAAUUAGUUCAUUUUAAAAUUCAUUAUUUACAAAGGAUUUAGUUCAAUAUUGAGUUUCUAAAUGAACCUCUACAUCACGUAAGAUUAAAUCCAGCCCCAGUGUAUCCGGGGUGUGAAUAGUAGUAGAUGAUGGAGAGGCAUAGAAUGUAUCAAAUUCUAUAGUAGUCAUAGUCUCACAAAUAAUUGGCACAGAUUUUUUUUCUGGCAAAUAACAAACUACCACUCAAGCCAGUUUCUUAUGAAAAAUAAAAAAUCAGAAUCAAUUUCUAACUUUGUCUUGUAAUUAUUUAUAUUAAGUAACAAAAUCUUGAAUUCUAAAUACUGACUCUUCUCAACUCUGUACAAAAUUCUGGCAAAUUCAAAAAUCUAUGCUUGCAUCAUUUACCUAUAUUAAUCCUCCAACGUGAUGUUUAAAAAGCCCAAAAUAUUCUGCAACCAGAACAAUGUCUAAUUUGCUUCUCAAACCUAUAGAAAUUGUGUUUGUUUUCAGUAAGUGUAAAAAUGUAUGAGACAAAUGUUCCUUACUGGCCCAUGGAAGGUAGGGUUUUGGGAAAGAAAGAUAAUGUACAUGCU
rnacentral:lncRNA from 1 species